UCCACUCCACUCCGGAUCCGGCUCGUCUCCAACGAUUGAUGCUCCAAUCAGCAUCGAACGACCUCUCAGAUGGUCGACACGUGGUGACGAUAAAUCUGACGGCUCAACAUCAUUGAACAUUCGCAGAGCUCGCCGAUGGGAAGUUCGCGAACUUCGACACUCCUUCCCUUCUCUUAUUUCUCCUCUCGGUGAACAAUCGUAGACCUCGCCGACGAAAAAUCCGGUCACUUUGACACUCCUUCCCUUCUCUUAGUUCUCCUCUCGGUGAACGAUCGUAGACCUCGCCGACGAAAAAUCCGACUCAGUCUCGUCUCCCUCUACUUUAUUUUUCCUUCUCUUUCUCUAUCCAUACAUGCUAAUAGCCCUAACCUGCAUAGGGGUUUCUCUUAUUUCUCAUCUCGGUGAACGAUAGCAGACCUCGCCGACGUUUGAAAUCGAUCUCGCAGGGACUUUCAUUCAGAGGUUUCAGAGGCGAGCACCGGCACCGACAAGAGGAAUUUCAGAGAUUUGCAAUCGAUCUCGCUUAGGGAUUUGAAAGGCACGAACGAACAGUAAAGGAAGCAUAUACAUUCAGGUCUUACAGGAGUUCGUUGGAUUUUUCGUCGGCGAGCUCUGCUAUCGUUCAGCGAUAGGAGAAAUUAGAGAAGGAGUAUUACAGUUCAUCGAACCGUUGGAUUUAUCAUCUCCACGUGUUGAUCAUCUACAAGGGCGUUGAACACUCGUUGAAACAUCAACCGUUGGAGACAAGCACCCCACCCCACCCCACCCCACCCUAAGGAACUUUACUAAGUCGUUAUCACUCUUGUAACCCACCUGAGUAGCUUUUCCCCAGGUAGAACAUUCCCUGGUCAUCAUCUGUUACUAUGUGAAAAAUAAUUGAUCUGAAUCGUCUAGCAGCAUCAAACAAUUCCUGAGUUUUCUAAAAAGGACAAAAUUUCAUA